AUUGAACGCUGGCGGCAUGCCUUACACAUGCAAGUCGAACGGUAACGGGCCUUCGGGUGCCGACGAGUGGCGAACGGGUGAGUAAUGUAUCGGAACGUACCUUUCAGUGGGGGAUAACGUAGCGAAAGUUACGCUAAUACCGCAUAUUCUGUGCGCAGGAAAGCAGGGGACCUUCGGGCCUUGCGCUGAUUGAGCGGCCGAUAUCAGAUUAGCUAGUUGGUGAGGUAAAGGCUCACCAAGGCGACGAUCUGUAGCGGGUCUGAGAGGAUGAUCCGCCACACUGGAACUGAGAAACGAUCCAGACUCCUACGGGAGGCAGCAGUGGGGGAUUUUGGACAAUGGGGGCAACCCUGAUCCAGCCAUGCCGCGUGAGUGAAGAAGGCCUUCGGGUUGUAAAGCUCUUUCGGCCGGGAAGAAAUCGUAUCAGCUAAUACCUGGUGCGGAUGACGGUACCGGCAUAAGAAGCACCGGCUAACUACGUGCCAGCCGCCGCAGUAACAC
rnacentral:rRNA from 1 species